rnacentral:rRNA from 1 species
GACAGAGGGUGCAAACGUUGCUCGGAAUCACUGGGCGUAAAGGGCGUGUAGGCGGGAAUGUAAGUCGGGCGUGAAAUCCCUAGGCUCAACCUAGGAACUGCACUCGAAACUGCGUUUCUUGAGUGCCGGAGAGGCUAGCGGAAUUCCCGGUGUAGUGGUGAAAUGCGUAGAUAUCGGGAGGAACACCAGUGGCGAAGGCGGCUAGCUGGCCUGUAACUGACGCUGAGGCGCGAAGGCUAGGGGAGCGAACAGG